rnacentral:rRNA from 1 species
ACUCAAAUGAAUUGACGGGGGCCCGCACAAGCGGUGGAACAUGUGGUUCAAUUCGACGCAACGCGAAGAACCUUACCUGGGCUCGAAAUGCUGGUGACCAUCCGUAGAAAUAUGGACUUCCCGCAAGGGACACCAGUAUAGGUGCUGCAUGGCUGUCGUCAGCUCGUGCCGUGAGGUGUUGGGUUAAGUCCCGCAACGAGCGCAACCCUUACAUUCUGUUGCCACCCGCAAGGGGGAACUCGGAAUGGACUGCUCCGGAUAACGGAGAGGAAGGUGGGGAUGACGUCAAGUCAGCAUGGCCUUUAUGUCCAGGGCUACACACGUGUUACAAUGCGCGGUACAGACCGUUGCCAACCCGCGAGGGGGAGCUAAUCGGAAAAAACCGCGCUCAGUUCGGAUUGCAGUCUGCAACUCGACUGCAUGAAGCCGGAAUCGCUAGUAAUGGCGUAUCAGAUCGGCGCCGUGAAUACGUUCCCGGGCCUUGUACACACCGCCCGU